UCCUGCAUACCAGGGUUGUCUGCUAUUCCAGGCCUGCGAAUAUGGCCAGCUGGAGUGUGCCUGCAUGCUUGCAGACUGUUGCGGAGAAACAGUGAUCAACCAAUUGUAUCUCAGGUUUGGAAGGCGGAAGUACACUCCACUACAUGUAGCAUGUAGUCAGGGUUGCAUCCAUAUUGCCAUGCACCUUGUCAAGUGUAAAGCCAAGGUGGACAGGACUGAUUCGACUGGUGGCCUUCCUGUUCAUAGCGCUGCUGGGACUGGUUGUCUGGAAGUCGUCAAGUAUCUACUAGAUGUCCAGCCCGACACGAUCUCCGUAAAGAACGAAGCUGGUGACCUUCCUGUUCAUAGCGCUGCUAAGACUGGUUGUCUGGAAGUCGUCAAGUAUCUACUAGAUGUCCAGCCGGACAUGGUCUCCGUAAGGAACACA